CGUUCAGAUUUCCGAUAGCUCUGUUGCACUCGCUGUAACUCCUUCGCGUGGCUCCUCCAGACCUCCAUUUCGGUCGCAGAGAGGUGGUGGCCGAUUCGGCACUUCUCGUGGUGGUCGAACGUCUGGUCCACGUAUUGAAUGUCAAAUUUGUGGCAAACCUGGGCAUUCUGCAGAAAAAUGCUGGCAUCGCACUAACCUCAGAUAUGUUAAACAAACUCCUACAGCAUUAGUUGCGGACUCAACUGAGAAUUAUAUUUCUGCAUUUCCUGGGCAGUCAUCGGAUUGGGUCUUGGAUACCGGAGCAACUUCACACAUCACUAAUGAUCCCAAUCAACUUCUCACAGCUCAUCCAUAUCAGGGUACUCAACAAAUCCAGGUCGGAAAUGGUCAGUCACUUCCGAUAGCUCAUACGGGUCAAGGAAUACUUCCCACCCCCAACCGACGGGAAAACCAACCGCUCGAUCCUCUCGGGUUUAUGCCGUGACGGACUUUAGUCCAUUCCAAAUCAUUCCAGUUCGUCUCCUCAAGCUUACAUUGCCACCGCCAGCUCUUCUACGUGGCAUUCAAGAUUGGGACAUCCUCAUCCUGCUGUGUUAUCUCGUAUAGCAUCUAGUUUUCCUUCUUUAAAGAUAUAUGUUACUAGCAAUGUCUGUCAUUCGUGUCAAACUGCUAAGUGUCAUAGGUUACCUUUUCUUAGUUCAAAUUCUCAAUGUACUUCUCCAUUUCAAGUUGUCGUCUCUGAUGUAUGGGGGCCUUCCCCAAUUUUCUCUCUUAAUGGAUAUCGCUAUUAUGUGUUAUUUGUGGA